UUUACACUUGCUAAUAGUUGAAGAUCCAUGCUGCGAAUAUUCUUUUGUCUGACACAAAAUUAGUUUGAGGUUCUUCAUCUUCAGGACUUAACCGUUUACUUUCUUUGCCAGUUUCAGUCUGUCUCUUUGAUUCAUUUUUCAUCCUCUCCUUUCCUUGCUUCGUUUUCUUUUAUCGUUCAAAUUUUGGUCUAAGUGGCAACAGGAGUGAUGAGCCUUCAUAUUCUAGCUCAAAUUUCACUAUGAAUGUUUGAUUCAAAACCCUCAAUUUUGUCGUGAAGAUGCUGUUGUACAAGACGCGUGGAGAUUUUGCACGCAUCAUAUUCGACAAAGUUCCCUAACGUUUAAUGGAAUCAGCUCUUCCUCUUGUCACUCGACUUCGGAAUGACACGGCUCAUUCGAUUGAUUUUUCAGUUGAAUUCGGCAAUUGCCCGAUCCCCAGCCUGAAGCCUGGCGGAUGGUGGCUGGUUAAUUUGUCCAAAGUUAUCAAAAUUUGCCGCCGUCUCGAAUCUGAUAGAUGGUUGAUUAAGGUUCUGAUUGAUAAAAUAAUCACGGGGAUGACACUGGAUGCAUGACUAUUUCUCCGCUCUGUUAUAAUCACCUUCAAAGUCGGGAGAAUCCAUGAUUGGAAGUUCGAAUUGAUAGCUGAAGCAAUUGAAGAAAAGCCCAUCGACAUCGUGCUUCGCCUUGGGUAAUCUAUAGAUUUCAUAUGGUCUGUUUUUAGAAGAGUUUUAUUCCGUUAACAAAUUAAUUUGACUUAUUAUUUGUUUUCAUCACCCUUCUUUAUUUUUAUUUUUUGAAUUUACAGUCGGGGUAUUGGAUUUGUCUUGAUGAGAAAUAUAGUGCGGAAUAGGAGAGAAUCUGCUAUAAUUGCAUGUUCACUUGUGGAAUUUCCAUUAAAUCCGCAUCAAAUUAGGCACUGAUAUAUCUAUUUGCAUUGGGCAUUACUUCCCAAAAAGUAUGGACUGUUCUCUUCGUUUGUUUUUAGCCCCUUGAUACUAUCGCAGUCGCAGUUUGCCCAAUUUCGACAGCACAUUGUAAAUAUUACCUCAAGUUUAAGUUGUAAUUUUCUUUUUAUUAUAAUAGUUAUUUCAGUAGUAAACAUUUAGUAUGAUUCAUCGUCUUUUAAAUUUUUACUCCUGUCACUUAGGUUUUUGUUCCGAAUGCUAUUAUAAAGGGUAUUAGUCAUUCAAAAAUCUUUCAUGCUCACUGGUGUUCGCCCCCUGCACUAGCAAUUGUAAUUUUCUGCUUUCGUCAAUUAUAAUGUUCAGUUUUCAUCAAUCAAUGUUCAAUUUACUUUCAAUGUAUUCAAAUUCUCUGUUGUAAGCUUUUUACAAAAUUGUAAUCAAAUUUUCUUUCGUCCCGACGCGAUCGAGAAAAGGCGGAAGGUAGUCUAGCGGAGCAGACUUCUGCCACACGGUGUCCCUUUCUGUGCCAAGAAGAAGGCACAUCGUGAAAGUUGGUAUCAGAGCUGCGGUUCACGACCCUCAAUAAGAAAGCUAUAGAUCGAAUUACAUCCCACACCACUGAAGUGGGAGAGCCUCAAAAGAAGAGUACUACUAAACAGCGCGUGGAUGCGCUUAAUGAGACAACUAUUAAGUUGUGCUAUGCUUUGGAAGGUCUCAAGGAAAAAGUCAAGAUGGUAGAAUCCGAGAUUCAUGGAUUACAUAUCCAACUGGAUGAAAGCCAAAGGGCUUGCGCAACAAUGAUUGAAGCUACUGCAAUCAUUCCUGAUCUGCAGGAUGAAAUGGAAGCGUUGAGAGCUCAAUUACAAGUACUCCAACGUACGGUGGGCAAUGGGCAAGCUCACGUACCUAAGUAUGCUCCCAAACUCAGAAUUCCUGAACCAUGUACCUACAGAGGGGCACGUGAUGCAAAAGAAGUCGAAAACUUCUUAUUUGACAUGGAACAGUACUUUUUCGCAGCUUCGAUUGAAGACGAAGCUAGAAAGAUAACCACAGCUACUAUGUAUCUGGGUGGAGAUGCAAAAUUAUAGUGGCAAACCCAAUAUGCUGACUUUCAUGCCAACAGGAUCCGAAUAGAUUCUUGGGAUCUCCUCAACGAAGCGAUCAGAUCUCAAUUUUUCCUGAAAAAUGUCGAGUAUCAGGCUCGAUGAGCACUUCAAGACCUGAAACACACAAACUCUAUCAGGGAGUAUGUGAAAUCCUUUUCAGGGCAUAUGCUAAAUACUCAAGAUAUGUCGGAAAAGGAUAAACUCUUCACCUUUAUGGAAGGGUUGUGUAGAAUCCUGAAUUUUUAACUUAAAUUCGCAUAUAUUUUUAUUUGCCAUUUAAUAGGAAUGCAAUGUUUGGUUAAGUUCUUAUGCAAGUUAAUUGAUUAUAUCUGUAGUUAUCUUAUUAGUUGAGGGACCAAAUUGAGAAAAAAAAUAAAUAUCAAAUUAUUUUAUACUUUAUUAAAUGGGCCAAAUAGUUAACUAUUGAAGGAGUUAGAAUUACUCUACCAAUAUUGGGUUCAUUUUGAAGCUAAUAAUAAAUGACAAAUUAUGGACUCAAGAAAAAUUUAAUUUGGUCAAGUUAAACCCGAGUUUUAGCCGUCUAAAGAAUAUUAUGGUUAUAAGAGUUUUAAAGGAUUAGAUUUUUCGCCAGUUGACUGCCACCACUAGUUUAGCUAAAUAAAUUAGAAUUUUAAGUUUUGGUUAAACAAAAUCUUUAUGUUAAGUAUUAAUAAUUAUACAUUUUUAAUUAAGAGGUAAUCAAUUAAAACGUAAUUCCUG
rnacentral:lncRNA from 1 species